AGAAGACUUCAGAUAUGAUCCAGAGUACCACGGGACACGUGAAACCCUGUGGGAAGCAGGAGGGACCACCCUCCAAGGCUAAAUACUACCUAGUGACCGAUAGCGUAUAGUACCGUGAGGGAAAGGUGAAAAGAACCCCGGGAGGGGAGUGAAAUAGAACCUGAAACCCUGCACUUACAAGCUGUGGAAGCACAUUUCUUGUGUGACCGCGUACUUUUUGUAGAACGGGCCAACGAGUUACGUUAAGUAGCAAGGUUAAGCACUUAAGGUGCGGAGCCGUAGCGAAAGCGAGUUUUAACUGAGCGUUCAGUUACUUGACGUAGACCCGAAACCGGGCGACCUACCCAUGAGCAGGAUGAAGCGAAAGUAAAAUUUCGUGGAGGUCCGAACCCACGAGCGUUGAAAAGCUCGGGGAUGACUUGUGGGUAGCGGUGAAAUUCCAAUCGAGCCCGGAGAUAGCUGGUUCUCCCCGAAAUAGCUUUAGGGCUAGCCUCAAGGUGAGAGAUACGGAGGUAGAGCACUGAAUGUCCUAGGGGGUAUUGCACCUACCGAAGACUAUCAAACUCCGAAUGCCGUCAUCUUAUACUUGGGAGUCAGACUGUGGGUGAUAAGAUUCAUAGUCGAAAGGGCAACAGCCCAGAUCGUCAGCUAAGGUCCCUAAAUGUAAGUUAAGUGGUAAAGGAUGUGGGAUUGCACAGACAACCAGGAUGUUGGCUUAGAAGCAGCCACUCAUUCAAAGAGUGCGUAAUAGCUCACUGGUCGAGUGAUCCUGCGCCGAAGAUUUCCGGGGCUAAAACUUACUACCGAAGCUACGGCAUCAGUAAUGAUGGGUAGGGGAGCUUCCCAUACGGGUUGAAGCAUGACCGUAAGGACAUGUGGACAGUAUGGGAGUGAGAAUGUUGGCAUGAGUAGCGAGAUGUGGGUGAGAAUCCCACAGGCCGUAAACCCAAGGUUUCCAGGGGAAGGUUCGUCCGCCCUGGGUUAGUCGGGACCUAAGCUGAGGCCGAAAGGCGUAGGUGAUGGACAACAGGUUGAUAUUCCUGUACUACCGAUAACCGUUUGAGAGAAGGGAUGACACAGUAGGAUAAGCUAAGCACACUGUUGGUUAUGUGUGCCCAAGCAUUGAGGCAGUCAAAGUAGGCAAAUCCGCUUUGAUAAUGCUGGGAUGUGAUGGGGAGCGAAAUUUAGUAGCGAAGUAGCUGAUUUCACACUGUCAAGAAAAGUCUCUAUCGAGGUUAAAGGUACCCGUACCGCAAACCGACACAGGUGGGUGAGGAGAGUAUCCUAAGGCCAGCGAGAGAACUGUUGUUAAGGAACUCGGCAAAAUGACCCCGUAACUUAGGGAUAAGGGGUGCCACCAUCAGGUGGCCGCAGAGAAUAGGCCCAAGCGACUGUUUACCAAAAACAUAGGUUUCUGCUAAGUCGCAAGACGAUGUAUAGGAGCUGACGCCUGCCCGGUGCUGGAAGGUUAAGGGGAUCUGUUAGAGCAAUCGAAGCAGUGAACUUAAGCCCCAGUAAACGGCGGCCGUAACUAUAACGGUCCUAAGGUAGCGAAAUUCCUUGUCGGGUAAGUUCCGACCCGCACGAAAGGCGUAACGAUUUGGGCACUGUCUCAACAACAGACUCGGUGAAAUUGUAAUUCCGGUGAAGAUGCCGGAUACCUGCGACAGGACGGAAAGACCCCAUGGAGCUU
rnacentral:rRNA from 1 species